GACUCCGGGGAAGCCAGGGAUAUCACAUGACCCAAUUCAUCUGGAAGGGAAAUUGAUUGCUGGUCUCCGCUGCUACACUUCACACUGAGGCCACAUGUCCCACAGGCCACUCUCAGGCAAUGACUAAAUACAGUCAGUUACGAAGGCAGGAUGUGGGGACAUCUCUGACAGGUGUCAGACCUGCAUCACUGUCUGGAGCCCCUUCCUGCCUUUUCCAGCUCCCUACCUGCUUUACUUCACAGCUGCUCCCGCGCCCAAGUAAAUGUCUUGCGUGUCCAGGCCAGACUGCUUCUUAGAGUACCCAAACUACCACAACUGGGCAGGUAGAAGAUAUAUGAGCCUGGAGUGCAGGGGAGAGGUCUAGGCUGGAAAUGUAAAUCUUGCAUAUAGAUGGUUGAGUAUAUAAAAUCAUGUUACUGGAUGAGAAGACCUAAGGAGUGUGGGUGUAUAUAAGAGAAGAAUACCUAGGACAAAACCUUGGAGUUCUCUUUACAGUGGUUGAGUAUAGGACAAAGGGCAAAAAUUGUGGCAUGGAAGCUGAGAGAUGAAAGUAUUUUAAGAAGCAAGGAGGAACCAACUGUGCCAAAUGCUCCUGAGACAACCAGUAAGAUGACGAAAGAGGUGUGUCUACUGCAUUUGGUAACUUGGUAACAUGGAAAUCAGAGCAGGUAAAUUUGUUGGUUUGAUGUUGGAAAAGAUAGAGGUCCUGGGUGAUUAUUUUUAAGCUCAUAGGCUUGUGAGUAAGCAGUGAGGGAAAUAUAGAGGGUUUGAAGAAAAAGAUGAGGGAAUAAAAUAGUUUUAUUCAGAAGGCAAAUAACAAACUGCCUAGGGAGGCUUGUCAUGUGGAUAGAGUGCCUUUUUGAGGUUUGUGGUCAUACAUUUUAAGUGAAACCAAUCAGUCCAUUUGAGAAAAGGUCAACAUGCCAGACAAGGAUGAGUGGAGCUCUCCAGGACCCAAGGUUUAAAGAGCCAACCAAGUUAGGAAAGGAGGUCUGUCUUCCCCCAUCUCUCUCCAGCCCAGAUCUCGAUGCAGCUUUGACAUCCUAGGAGUUCAGGGUUG